UUUACAUGAAUGCGGUGACUUGUCGGUAACGAGCAGAUGGUCAUGACAGGCUUCGAUAUUCUAUAAAACUAGAAACUAUCUAGACAGUACUUCAACAGAAAGCUGGAUAGAGACAAUUCGUCACAUCAAGCUACGAGAAAGCAUAUCAUCAUUUCAACGAAUCAUACUCGGACACUGCAUCAAAAUCAGACUUUGAAAAUGGCGUCAAAAACCAUGAUUGCUCUCUACUUUCUGAUUGUCUUGGCUGUGGCAGCAAGUGUUUUAGUUGAGGAAGAUGCGAUCGACAAUUCCGAUGCCUUGGAUGUCGAGGAGAACGGCGACAAAAGAAGAAAGAACAAACCAAUAGUUGUAUGUGAAUAUUAUGGUCAAUCGUGUACCUGCCGGGGAAAGAGAGUACUAACGUGUGAUGGGCGGUAGCAACAGUAGCACUGAGAAGUUCGGGAAGCAGGCUAGCUGGAUAUUCUCCAUGUGGUCAGACGACUUCUCCGUUUGUUGAGACUUUUGUGAAAUAAAUGCAAAAAAACCCCAUAAGUGAUCAGUCAUCACUGACCUUAACCCUAACCCUAACGAAUUUAUAACCCUGCCUUAAAAAGAAAAAUUGAAAUACGUAUAUAUAUAUAUAUAUAUAUACAAUUCGAAUCUCGGUUCAAAGUAAAGUAACAAUUUGCCUACAUGUAACCAAAGGUAGUUUUUGCGUUGACAACAGGUUAGCCAAUUCAAUGGAAAAUUUGAUUCUUUGAUUUAAUGCAUUGAAGAGUUGGAUCUUGUACAUAUGCUUCAACGUAGAGGAACCGUGCAAAGAAAACCAUUAAGGUGUAUACAUUAAUAUAAAUCAAUGACUUAAUUAAACGUAAUGUUCUGAUUUAUUUUCAAAUGUCUAAUCAGCUGCUUUAUUCUCUGACACAUUAUGCACAAAACGGUCUCAUUAAACGGAAUGACGUAAUAAUUCCUUCUUGUGUUAUUUAUUUGUGUUCAUGUCGUGAGAGGGGUAAU